UACGUAGGUGGCAAGCGUUGUCCGGAUUUACUGGGCGUAAAGAGCGCGCAGGCGGUCGUGCAAGUCGCGUGUGAAAGCCCCCGGCUCAACUGGGGAGGGUCACGCGAUACUGCUCGACUCGAAGGCAGGAGAGGGAAGUGGAAUUCCCGGUGUAGAGGUGAAAUUCGUAGAUAUCGGGAGGAAUACCAGUAGCGAAGGCGCUGUCCUGGACGAAGAUUGACGCUGAGGUGCGAAAGCGUGGGGAGCAAACAGG
rnacentral:rRNA from 1 species